rnacentral:lncRNA from 1 species
AUGCCCACACAAAAGGUCCCAGCUGCACCGCAAGCUUCUGUCCCACUGUCCCCAGCUCAGAGUGAAGCAGAAACUCGAAGCAGACGGUGCUCCCCAAAAGCAGUGCCCCAAAAGAUGCUGGGGCAGGCGCCAUGGGCAAGGCUGUCUCCUUCUGUCCCUGCCGUCCUGCUGCUGGCACUCUGUGGCAGCAUGACCUCCCAGGACAUCUGCAGCUCCUCAGGGGAUCUCCUGGCUCCUGCUCUCCAAAUGAACUCAAGUUCUGCUCAGCCAGGUACCACAGUUUUGCUCCAGUGUAUUCUCCCUGUGGUGUCAUCCGUAAUAAGAAUCAUCAUCUGCAAGGAUGGCAAGCAGCUGUACAGCGAGAAAGCCCAUCAAGAGCAGCUGAGCUACUCUGUGGUCUUGAACAUCACGUCAAGAAGCGCAGGAAGAUAUACAUGUGGGUACCAGCAGAGGAAUGAGAUGAAACAGAGGAGGAGCUCUGCCCUCAGUGCUGGCCGCAUCCUGAAUGUCCCAGGGGCAGGUGCUGGCCUGACCACCCUGGACAUCUACAGCUCCCCAGGCAAUGUGGCGAGUUCCCCAGCAAGUCCAUCACCCCCAGCUCCCCAUGCCCGGAUCCUACACACCCUCCCCAUAGGCAUGGUGGUAGCAGUGGCAGCCGUCGGCCUCAUCCUCCUGGCUGCAGGCAGCUGGUUUGCCAUCAGGAAAGGUGCCUGCAGAGGGAGAUGCCCAAGGCAACAGCACGUUGACAGCCCACAGACGGAAGACACCAACUAUGGUGACAUCCAGUACUCCACCAUCGCCCAUGUUCGACGGGACAGGCCUCCUCCUGUGCAGCAGAUGGGAAAAACCACGACAUAUGCCACAGUGACCCGCACCCAGACCCGAUAGCGCUGUCAUAGGGCAAGUGCACAGGAGCCUUGUCCACGGCUGCCUUUGCUCUCCUGUAAAGGGCUUGAGCGGCCAUAACAUGGGGUGGGGGUUGCCUUUUGGGCUUCUUUGGGGUUUUCUGUCACAGGGAAGAGUUGUGUGUGUUUAGCCAAGAGGAUGUAGGACUCACACCUGCAUCAAUAAUACAUUAAUACUUCUAAAAUAUAAGAGAUAUAGUAAAUCAUACUGUGAUAGUAUUGAUUUUUUCUCAAAAGAAGAAAACAUCUCGCUUUGCUCAGUGGAGGAUGUGUACACCUAAGUUGCAUUAUAAAGUCGCGAUGGUGCUAUUCCACCCAUGGAGAUGCACAUUUGGACCUACAAGGACAGAUAGCACUGCAGGAAUGUGCUCACGUGUGUGUGCCAACCGGUGUGUGCACUGCAGAUGUGGUUCUGCUCAGAUGAGAAACAAACAUCUCUGACUUUGUGUUCCUGAUGGCACCUAAGUCUCAUGCAGCCACAUCAGGAAUGGGACGGAGGAGACAGACAGACACUGAGGCACAAAGGGGUGGUGGUGUCAAUCUUAAGGGAUGUGAAGAGCCUUGCAAACAGACCUUGCCGAGAACUACACCAGCACUUUUCUGUUUGGGGUGGCUUCAUUGAGAGCUGGCAGAUCAGCAGGGCUUUCCCCAGUGUUCUCUGCCUCUCUCAGAGAACCAGCUGCAUCGCCUCUCACUUGCUCAGCUUUUGGCAUGCAGAGGGUGUUGAGAGCAGUUGGAUUGAGAGAGCUGCAAAACACAAGGGAGAACAAGCAGUAGACUUGAUCUGGCGGUGCCCACCAUGGGGAAAUGCUGGGAGCAUGGAAGGAGGGGGAUUCAGCCAGAGCACAGCCAUGCAAAGCUCCCAGGCUCCUGCCAUCAGAAGCACUUUUGGCUUGCAUUUGCUCUCCAACAGCCUGCACUCUUGCAACCAUCACGUGCACGCUCAGUGUGGAAGGCUGUGCUUGGGCUGAACUCACCUUAAC